AAGCUUGCUUCUCUUGAGAGCGGCGGACGGGUGAGUAAUGCCUAGGAAUCUGCCUGGUAGUGGGGGAUAACGUUCGGAAACGGACGCUAAUACCGCAUACGUCCUACGGGAGAAAGCAGGGGACCUUCGGGCCUUGCGCUAUCAGAUGAGCCUAGGUCGGAUUAGCUAGUUGGUGAGGUAAUGGCUCACCAAGGCGACGAUCCGUAACUGGUCUGAGAGGAUGAUCAGUCACACUGGAACUGAGACACGGUCCAGACUCCUACGGGAGGCAGCAGUGGGGAAUAUUGGACAAUGGGCGAAAGCCUGAUCCAGCCAUGCCGCGUGUGUGAAGAAGGUCUUCGGAUUGUAAAGCACUUUAAGUUGGGAGGAAGGGCAUUUACCUAAUACGUAAGUGUUUUGACGUUACCGACAGAAUAAGCACCGGCUAACUCUGUGCCAGCAGCCGCGGUAAU
rnacentral:rRNA from 1 species